CUGUGGGAACCAGGGGACAACUACACAGACGAUUAGUAAACCACAAGAAACGUCCAAGACUACCCCAAGACAGUAGUAUUGCAUAGGAGGGCAUACCAUGUAACUCAAAAAUCCACAAUAAAGUGCAAGCCUAAAUAGGCACUCCCUUAAAUAAGCAUAUCUAUAUAAAAUCAGGAUGCACACUAGAAACAGCUACAUAAAAUGCAAUGCUUUAUCAAAAAUUGCUUAGGGUUAUUU